AAUUGCCAUCAUUUAGUUGGGCACUUUAAGAGACUGCCGGUGUUAAGCCGGAGGAAGUGGGGAUGACGUCAAGUCCUCAUGGCCUUUAUGCCCAGGGCUACACACGUGCUACAAUGGCCGGUACAGAGGGCUGCCAACCCGCGAGGGGGAGCCAAUCCCAGAAAACCGGUCGUAGUCCGGAUCGUAGUCUGCAACUCGACCUGCGUGAAGUCGGAAUCGCUAGUAAUCGCGGAUCAGCUUGCCGCGGUGAAUACGUUCCCGGGUCCGUU
rnacentral:rRNA from 1 species